AUCAUUCUUGUCCUCAAGAAUGAUAAACAGCAAUCAGCAAAACAUAUUACAAUUAUAGACCACAUGCCACUACUAGGAACUAUAACGAAUAUUUAUGUGCAAAUCUAAUAUCCUGCAUACUGGAAUUGGUUUUUCAUAUUUGCCUUUUUUUUCUGCCUUCUUCAACUUUCAAAUUCAUCUCCUCCAAGAAUUACAGAUGUAGCUCCCUUCAAGAUUUUUUUUUUUUUCAGCCUUCUUGAUUUCUCUCGUUUAUCCUCCAUGGAAAUUAGG
rnacentral:misc_RNA from 1 species